rnacentral:misc_RNA from 1 species
ACCGGAUCUCUCUUCUCAUACCGCAGGAGUUUUCAGCCCCGGCCACGGCGUUUGCUGUCUGCUGAUGGGAAAGUCUUCCUCAACUUAUGGUUCAUACCCCAUCCUUCUGAAGUGCUAGUUAUGUUCAAAACUCUGCCAGAAAAGGUAGCUUUUAGAGCCUUAAAGCUAACUCUGCAGCUGAUAGCCCCUCUUCAUGACAUUGUGGCCUACCUUUUCAGUUUUGCUAAACUUGGAAAUUGUCCAGCAUGUUUUGAAUUUCCUCUGAGUCCUAACCCUCUGAGAGGUGACUGGGGAGGAACUGAGGGUAUUGGAUCUGAACUUCAAGAGCUGCAGAAAAUGAUUGACAGCCUCCAGAGCCCCCAAGACCCCACUCUGGUGUCCCAGGUCCUUCUCCUCCAAAGGGAGGUUAUGUUUCUGCAGUUUGACGCUGCAGUGAGGUACCUCAUCCGACGAACAUUUUUAGCAGCUGGAAAUACUUCUGCCUACCAGUCUGUCAUAGACGGCAUGUAUCAUGGGUUGCCAUCACUGAGCAACUCUCCAAUGAAGAGCAUUUUUGCUUCCCAGCUCAGCCUACCACAACCACUGGAUCCACAGAGCCUCCAGGCAUUUGUGCUGUUCCCUUGGAGAGCGUUUCUGGAAGAUGGAGGACCAUUUCCAGUUACAAGUAGCAGCCCAGAUACCCUAGAAUAUCACAUGCAGCUAUGCUUUUGUGGACUGAGUGGCCAUGACCUCAAGGUGGCUCAUGGAGAGCUGGCAGGCAUGCAACUGCUAAUGGAAGAUGUUCUUCUGAGUAACUAUCAUACGAUCAUGGAGGGUCUCCCAGAACAGCAAGCCACACCAGACAAAAAUACACAGCCAGAUUUGUCCAGAGUGCCAGGACUCAGAAGUCAGUUCCAAAGCAGCCCAAAGGCCUCCAAGCUGCUGGGCGGCCCAUGUGAUGCAGUGAUGUCCCUUGCUUUGCUGAGAUCAUUUCUGGUGCUGUGGAAGCAACUGGAAGUUCUAAAGGAGCACUGGGGCCAACUCAAGCUCCAAGUCCAGGACAUCAACUCCCCCUCUCUCCACAAACAGUUCUCGGAGCUCUAUGGAACUGAUAUUCUCUACCCCAGCAUGAAAGCUAUAGCUAGGCGGAUGGGGAAAGAAGAUGAAUUUGAAGAAAUUUUAAUAACUAGUCAGUCUAUUCUUCCCCCCAAAGGAGCUUCAGAAAUCGAAAUAAAAACUCAACAGCUUCAGAAACUUCUGGAAAAUCUUGAAAUUCAUAUGAUCCAGGAGGUAUUAAAGAAAGUUAACAGAGAGAUAACACUGGUUGUAUCAGAAAAGUCCAAGGAGCAGCAUACUCUCCCUACAGACCUUUGGAAACACCAAGUCAUGGAAGAAAACUUUUCAAUUAUCAGACCACAAAUAGUUGAAAAUUUUGUACAGAGAUUAUUGGAGAAUUACCAGGAUGGUGGAUUAGAGGUCACUUUCAGGAAAGACCACCUUGAGGCCUGCCUCCUUUCCCUGGGUUGUGAUGUGAUGGCCAGAGAACGCAGCAACUUCGAGAGCUACUCCAUGUGUUACGAGCAUAUUUUGGAGCACGUUAGACAGAAGCUCUGCCAGAAGGAGCAAGAAUUAGACAUUAUACGAAGAGGUCAAAAUCCACCUGAAGACAAGGCUGGUCAGGUUGCAGAACUCAGUCACAAUAUGAUCAUGGAGAUCACUGCCCUGAGAGCCCGACUCACGGAUUUGGAGGAGGAGAAUCUAAAUCUCAAAAAGCAAAUUAGAAAAGAAGUCCAAGAAGAAUAUGAAGCAUUAGUCCAAGCUUUGUUUGUGACAUGUUUGCACAUCAAAGAGAAGUUGGAUGAGAAUCAGCUUAAUUUGAUCCAGAAAGUGUGUGAGCUCAUCGGCGAAGUAAGAACAGAAGGGAUUGACAACAUGAAAAGCCUAAAGAAGAAGUGGGGCUCCGCCAGGCCUGACGAAGAAAUGAAAGAAAAUCCAGCCAAAGAGCAGCUGCAGCCUUUGGAGCAGGACAACUGCGGCCUGCCCGCCCUGGUGCGCAAACUGAGGAGCCUGGGCCAUUGGAGGCUGGUGGUGCAGCAGGCGCACUUCCGGGGCCAGCUGAGCAGGGCUGAGAAGGAAGCUGUGCAAACGAAAAAAGAGUGUUUGAACAUCAAGCUAAUGGCAGAACGAGAAGUGGUUUUAUUUCGUCAACAGCUAUUGGCUCUAAGGCAGGCCCUGGCUAGGGCUCAGGCAGACAAUGUGAAGAUGUGCAGGCAGCAGGAGAAUCAGGCACAAUUGCUGAAAGAGUUAGAACACCGAGUGACCCAGGAAGCUCUCCACAGGCAGCAGCUGGAUUUAAUGAAAGCCUCCAGCAUGGAGAAGCUCUUAAAGGAUGUGGAGCAAAAGGAACAGCACCUGCAGCUCCUCACUGAAGAUGCCAAGAGGGCUUCUAAACUGGGCCAGCUGCAGCAGAAGAAAAUUCAGAGAGAACUCCGACAGGUGAGAAGCCGGCUUGCCCAUGAGCGUAGUGUGAAGCUGGAUGCUUUCCAGUGGGUAGAAGAGCUACAAAGUCAGCUUAAUGAUGCUGAGCAAUCCUCCACCCAAAGAAACUCACCUGGCGGCCUUAUAUCCCAAGCUCACUACUCCCUAAGUUCUGCUUCCACGUCAUCCAGAUACACCCAGCAACACCUUUUAAAGACUCAACUCACGGGCAGCAAAAUAACAAGGAUUCAAAGGCCAAAGACUGUACCUAUUAAACACACAAAAAGAACUGACCAUGUCUUCCUACCCAACGUGGCAGAUGCUGUUCAACUUCCAGCUUUUCAAGUUUAAACGGCUCCAUCCAGAACCCCAUUUAGACCUGAUUGGUAA